AUGGACUAUACCACCAGGGAGGCCCUCACUCUGCGAGGGUGGGGAGCUCUUCGACCGGAUUGUUGUGAGGGGGCACUACACGGAACGCGCCACCAUUGUGGUCACCAAAACCAUCAUCAGGGUCGUGUGAACGGUUCACUGAGAUUGUUGGAAGGCCUUAUUACAUGGCUCGAGAAACUGUGGCCAAGAGAAACUGAACAAGGUGUUGCUCAAGCAAUUAUCCGGUCUCUCAUUGAUUUUAAAAGAGAUCCAUGGCCAAGGGUAUCAGAUAAUGUAAAAGACCUUGUCAGGGCCCAGAUCCAAGGAGGCGUUUGA
rnacentral:rRNA from 1 species